rnacentral:rRNA from 1 species
AGGGCGUUUGUCAGUGUUUAUAGACCCGAACCCGGGUGAUCUAACCAUGGCCAGGAUGAAGCUUGGGUGAUACCAAGUGGAGGUCCGAACCGACUGAUGUUGAAAAAUCAGCGGAUGAGCUGUGGUUAGGGGUGAAAUGCCAAUCGAACCCGGAGCUAGCUGGUUCUCCCCGAAAUACGUUGAGGCGUAGCGUCUCGUGCU